AACGAACGCUGGCGGCAUGCCUAACACAUGCAAGUCGAACGGAAAGGCCCUGCUUUUGUGCGCUGCUCGAGGGGAGAACGGGGAAGUAACACGUGAGUAACGUGCCCUUGACUUUAGGAUAAGUUCAGGAAGCUGGGGCUAAUACCAUAUAGGAUCUCCCGCUGCAUGGUGGGCGUGGGAUAGUUUCGCCUGUUGGGGAUGGACUGGCCGCUUAUGGGCUUGCUUGUUGGGUGGUGGCUUACCAAGGCCUUGACGGGUCGCCGGCCUGAGAGGGUGAACGGCCACAUUACGACUGCGAUACGGCCCAGACUCCAACGGUAGGCAACAGUGGGGAAGAUUGCACAAUGGGCGGGGGCCUGAUGCAGCCACGCCGCGUGCGGGAUGACGGCCUGCGGGUUGUAAACCGCUUUCGCCUGUGACGAAGCGUUAGUGACGGUACCGGGUAAAGAAGCACCGGCUAACUACGUG
rnacentral:rRNA from 1 species